rnacentral:rRNA from 1 species
CAACGAUCCGAACUGACUCCAUCUUUUGGAGAUUAGCUUCCGCUCGCACGGUCGCUGCCCACUGUGGUCGCCAUUGUAACACGUGUGUAUCCCAACGCGUAAGGGCCAUGAGGACUUGACGUCAUCCCCACCUUCCUCCGGCUUAUCACCGGCGGUUCCUUUAGAGUACCCAACUUAAUGCUGGCAACUAAAGGCGAGGGUUGCGCUCGUUGCGGGACUUAACCCAACAUUUCACGACACG